rnacentral:rRNA from 1 species
CACGUAGGCGGUUCGUUAAGUCGGAUGUGAAAGCCCCGGGCUCAACCUGGGAAUUGCAUUCGAUACUGGCAAACUAGAGUAUAGAAGAGGCAAGUGGAAUUCCGGGUGUAGCGGUGAAAUGCGUAGAUAUCCGGAGGAACAUCAGUGGCGAAGGCGACUUGCUGGUCUAAUACUGACGCUGAGGUGCGAAAGCGUGGGGAGCAAACG